rnacentral:rRNA from 1 species
GGUUAAGCGACUAAGCGUACACGGUGGAUGCCCUGGCAGUCAGAGGCGAUGAAGGACGUGCUAAUCUGCGAUAAGCGUCGGUAAGGUGAUAUGAACCGUUAUAACCGGCGAUUUCCGAAUGGGGAAACCCAGUGUGUUUCGACACACUAUCAUUAACUGAAUCCAUAGGUUAAUGAGGCGAACCGGGGGAACUGAAACAUCUAAGUACCCCGAGGAAAAGAAAUCAACCGAGAUUCCCCCAGUAGCGGCGAGCGAACGGGGAGGAGCCCAGAGCCUGAAUCAGUGUGUGUGUUAGUGGAAGCGUCUGGAAAGGCGCGCGAUACAGGGUGACAGCCCCGUACACAAAAAUGCACAUGCUGUGAGCUCGAUGAGUAGGGCGGGACACGUGGUAUCCUGUCUGAAUAUGGGGGGACCAUCCUCCAAGGCUAAAUACUCCUGACUGACCGAUAGUGAACCAGUACCGUGAGGGAAAGGCGAAAAGAACCCCGGCGAGGGGAGUGAAAAAGAACCUGAAACCGUGUACGUACAAGCAGUGGGAGCCUCUUUUAUGGGGUGACUGCGUACCUUUUGUAUAAUGGGUCAGCGACUUAUAUUCUGUAGCAAGGUUAACCGAAUAGGGGAGCCGAAGGGAAACCGAGUCUUAACUGGGCGUUAAGUUGCAGGGUAUAGACCCGAAACCCGGUGAUCUAGCCAUGGGCAGGUUGAAGGUUGGGUAACACUAACUGGAGGACCGAACCGACUAAUGUUGAAAAAUUAGCGGAUGACUUGUGGCUGGGGGUGAAAGGCCAAUCAAACCGGGAGAUAGCUGGUUCUCCCCGAAAGCUAUUUAGGUAGCGCCUCGUGAAUUCAUCUCCGGGGGUAGAGCACUGUUUCGGCAAGGGGGUCAUCCCGACUUACCAACCCGAUGCAAACUGCGAAUACCGGAGAAUGUUAUCACGGGAGACACACGGCGGGUGCUAACGUCCGUCGUGAAGAGGGAAACAACCCAGACCGCCAGCUAAGGUCCCAAAGUCAUGGUUAAGUGGGAAACGAUGUGGGAAGGCCCAGACAGCCAGGAUGUUGGCUUAGAAGCAGCCAUCAUUUAAAGAAAGCGUAAUAGCUCACUGGUCGAGUCGGCCUGCGCGGAAGAUGUAACGGGGCUAAACCAUGCACCGAAGCUGCGGCAGCGACACUAUGUGUUGUUGGGUAGGGGAGCGUUCUGUAAGCCUGUGAAGGUGUGCUGUGAGGCAUGCUGGAGGUAUCAGAAGUGCGAAUGCUGACAUAAGUAACGAUAAAGCGGGUGAAAAGCCCGCUCGCCGGAAGACCAAGGGUUCCUGUCCAACGUUAAUCGGGGCAGGGUGAGUCGACCCCUAAGGCGAGGCCGAAAGGCGUAGUCGAUGGGAAACAGGUUAAUAUUCCUGUACUUGGUGUUACUGCGAAGGGGGGACGGAGAAGGCUAUGUUGGCCGGGCGACGGUUGUCCCGGUUUAAGCGUGUAGGCUGGUUUUCCAGGCAAAUCCGGAAAAUCAAGGCUGAGGCGUGAUGACGAGGCACUACGGUGCUGAAGCAACAAAUGCCCUGCUUCCAGGAAAAGCCUCUAAGCAUCAGGUAACAUCAAAUCGUACCCCAAACCGACACAGGUGGUCAGGUAGAGAAUACCAAGGCGCUUGAGAGAACUCGGGUGAAGGAACUAGGCAAAAUGGUGCCGUAACUUCGGGAGAAGGCACGCUGAUAUGUAGGUGAAGCGACUUGCUCGUGGAGCUGAAAUCAGUCGAAGAUACCAGCUGGCUGCAACUGUUUAUUAAAAACACAGCACUGUGCAAACACGAAAGUGGACGUAUACGGUGUGACGCCUGCCCGGUGCCGGAAGGUUAAUUGAUGGGGUCAGCGCAAGCGAAGCUCUUGAUCGAAGCCCCGGUAAACGGCGGCCGUAACUAUAACGGUCCUAAGGUAGCGAAAUUCCUUGUCGGGUAAGUUCCGACCUGCACGAAUGGCGUAAUGAUGGCCAGGCUGUCUCCACCCGAGACUCAGUGAAAUUGAACUCGCUGUGAAGAUGCAGUGUACCCGCGGCAAGACGGAAAGACCCCGUGAACCUUUACUAUAGCUUGACACUGAACAUUGAGCCUUGAUGUGUAGGAUAGGUGGGAGGCUUAGAAGUGUGGACGCCAGUCUGCAUGGAGCCGACCUUGAAAUACCACCCUUUAAUGUUUGAUGUUCUAACGUUGACCCGUGAUCCGGGUUGCGGACAGUGUCUGGUGGGUAGUUUGACUGGGGCGGUCUCCUCCUAAAGAGUAACGGAGGAGCACGAAGGUUGGCUAAUCCUGGUCGGACAUCAGGAGGUUAGUGCAAUGGCAUAAGCCAGCUUGACUGCGAGCGUGACGGCGCGAGCAGGUGCGAAAGCAGGUCAUAGUGAUCCGGUGGUUCUGAAUGGAAGGGCCAUCGCUCAACGGAUAAAAGGUACUCCGGGGAUAACAGGCUGAUACCGCCCAAGAGUUCAUAUCGACGGCGGUGUUUGGCACCUCGAUGUCGGCUCAUCACAUCCUGGGGCUGAAGUAGGUCCCAAGGGUAUGGCUGUUCGCCAUUUAAAGUGGUACGCGAGCUGGGUUUAGAACGUCGUGAGACAGUUCGGUCCCUAUCUGCCGUGGGCGCUGGAGAACUGAGGGGGGCUGCUCCUAGUACGAGAGGACCGGAGUGGACGCAUCACUGGUGUUCGGGUUGUCAUGCCAAUGGCACUGCCCGGUAGCUAAAUGCGGAAGAGAUAAGUGCUGAAAGCAUCUAAGCACGAAACUUGCCCCGAGAUGAGUUCUCCCUGACUCCUUGAGAGUCCUGAAGGAACGUUGAAGACGACGACGUUGAUAGGCCGGGUGUGUAAGCGCAGCGAUGCGUUGAGCUAACCGGUACUAAUGAACCGUGAGGCUUAACCUU